rnacentral:rRNA from 1 species
UUCGCCCUUAGAGUUUGAUCCUGGCUCAGGACGAACGCUGGCGGCGCGCCUAACACAUGCAAGUCGAACGAGAGAGAGGAAGCUUGCUUCCUCAAUCGAGUGGCGAACGGGUGAGUAACGCGUGAGGAACCUGCCUCAAAGAGGGGGACAACAGUUGGAAACGACUGCUAAUACCGCAUAAGCCCACAGCUCGGCAUCGAGCAGAGGGAAAAGGAGCAAUCCGCUUUGAGAUGGCCUCGCGUCCGAUUAGCUAGUUGGUGAGGUAACGGCCCACCAAGGCGACGAUCGGUAGCCGGACUGAGAGGUUGAACGGCCACAUUGGGACUGAGACACGGCCCAGACUCCUACGGGAGGCAGCAGUGGGGAAUAUUGCACAAUGGGGGAAACCCUGAUGCAGCGACGCCGCGUGGAGGAAGAAGGUCUUCGGAUUGUAAACUCCUGUUGUUGAGGAAGAUAAUGACGGUACUCAACAAGGAAGUGACGGCUAACUACGUGCCAGCAGCCGCGGUAAAACGUAGGUCACAAGCGUUGUCCGGAAUUACUGGGUGUAAAGGGAGCGCAGGCGGGAGAACAAGUUGGAAGUGAAAUCCAUGGGCUCAACCCAUGAACUGCUUUCAAAACUGUUUUUCUUGAGUAGUGCAGAGGUAGGCGGAAUUCCCGGUGUAGCGGUGGAAUGCGUAGAUAUCGGGAGGAACACCAGUGGCGAAGGCGGCCUACUGGGCACCAACUGACGCUGAGGCUCGAAAGUGUGGGUAGCAAACAGGAUUAGAUACCCUGGUAGUCCACACCGUAAACGAUGAUUACUAGGUGUUGGAGGAUUGACCCCUUCAGUGCCGCAGUUAACACAAUAAGUAAUCCACCUGGGGAGUACGACCGCAAGGUUGAAACUCAAAGGAAUUGACGGGGGCCCGCACAAGCAGUGGAGUAUGUGGUUUAAUUCGACGCAACGCGAAGAACCUUACCAAGUCUUGACAUCCCUUGACGAUGCUGGAAACAGUAUUUCUCUUCGGAGCAAGGAGACAGGUGGUGCAUGGUUGUCGUCAGCUCGUGUCGUGAGAUGUUGGGUUAAGUCCCGCAACGAGCGCAACCCCUAUCUUCAGUAGCCAGCAGGUGAAGCUGGGCACUCUGGAGAGACUGCCAGGGAUAACCUGGAGGAAGGUGGGGACGACGUCAAAUCAUCAUGCCCCUUAUGAUCUGGGCUACACACGUGCUACAAUGGCGUAACAAAGGGAAGCGAGCCUGCGAGGGUGAGCAAAUCCCAAAAAUAACGUCCCAGUUCGGACUGUAGUCUGCAACCCGACUACACGAAGCUGGAAUCGCUAGUAAUCGCGAAUCAGAAUGUCGCGGUGAAUACGUUCCCGGGUCUUGUACACACCGCCCGUCA